rnacentral:rRNA from 1 species
AGAACGAACGCUGGCGGCAGGCUUAACACAUGCAAGUCGAGCGCCCCGCAAGGGGAGCGGCAGACGGGUGAGUAACGCGUGGGAAUCUACCUAGCUCUUCGGAAUAGCUCCGGGAAACUGGAAUUAAUACCGAGUACGCCCUACGGGGGAAAGAUUUAUCGGAGUUAGAUGAGCCCGCGUUGGAUUAGCUAGUUGGUGGGGUAAUGGCCUACCAAGGCGACGAUCCAUAGCU